rnacentral:rRNA from 1 species
GAUGAACGCUAGCGGCAGGCUUAAUACAUGCAAGUCGAGGGGCAGCACGAAUAGCAAUAUUUGGUGGCGACCGGCGCACGGGUGCGUAACACGUAUACAACCUACCUAUAACAGGGGGAUAGCCUUUCGAAAGAGAGAUUAAUACCCCGUAAUAAAUUGAGUGGCAUCACUUGAUUUUGAAAGCUACGGCGGUUAUAGAUGGGUAUGCGUCUGAUUAGCUAGUUGGUGAGGUAACGGCUCACCAAGGCGACGAUCAGUAGGGGAUCUGAGAGGACUAACCCCCANACUGGUACUGAGACACGGACCAGACUCCUACGGGAGCAGCAGUAAGGAAUAUUGGUCAAAUGGAGGCAACUCUGAACCAGCCAUGCCGCGUGCAGGAUGACGGCCCUAUGGGUUGUAAACUGCUUUUGUACCAGAGAAAACCUACUCACGUGUGAGUAGCUGAUAGUAUGGUAAGAAUAAGCAUCGGCUAACUUCGUGCC